rnacentral:rRNA from 1 species
CGCGUAGGCGGCGCGGUAAGCGUGCGGUGAAAGCCUGGGGCUCAACCCCGGGUCGGCCGUGCGGACUGCCGGGCUGGAGCACUGUAGAGGCAGGUGGAAUUCCGGGUGUAGCGGUGGAAUGCGUAGAGAUCCGGAAGAACACCGGUGGCGAAGGCGGCCUGCUGGGCAGUGGCUGACGCUGAGGCGCGACAGCGUGGGGAGACAAAACA